AACGAACGCUGGCGGCGUGCCUAAUACAUGCAAGUAGAACGCUGAAGACUUUAGCUUGCUAAAGUUGGAAGAGUUGCGAACGGGUGAGUAACGCGUAGGUAACCUGCCUACUAGCGGGGGAUAACUAUUGGAAACGAUAGCUAAUACCGCAUAACAGCAUUUAACCCAUGUUAGAUGCUUGAAAGGAGCAAUUGCUUCACUAGUAGAUGGACCUGCGUUGUAUUAGCUAGUUGGUGAGGUAACGGCUCACCAAGGCGACGAUACAUAGCCGACCUGAGAGGGGGAUCGGCCACACUGGGACUGAGACACGGCCCAGACUCCUACGGGAGGCAGCAGUAGGGAAUCUUCGGCAAUGGGGGCAACCCUGACCGAGCAACGCCGCGUGAGUGAAGAAGGUUUUCGGAUCGUAAAGCUCUGUUGUAAGAGAAGAACGUGUGUGAGAGUGGAAAGUUCACACAGUGACGGUAACUUACCAGAAAGGGACGGCUAACUACGUGCCAGCAGCCGCCGUAAAAC
rnacentral:rRNA from 1 species